GGAGAGAGCCAGCUCUUCCCGGUCAUCCAGAGCAACAACAGCUUCUACACCAUCACUGACCUCAUCACCGUCCCGGCCACCAGCGUGGAGGACACCACCUUCCAGUGUAGGGUGCAGCACAGCACCACCAAUACCAACGUCGUGAAGGACAUCACAGAUGUUUGUCACGUUCCCCCACCGGUGGUCAAGCUCCUGAGUGACCCCAACCAGGACCAACCUUCCGAAAACGUCCUCCUGCUCUGCCUGGUGGAAGGGAAGCCCCCUGCCGAUGCCACGGUGCAAUGGCUGAUCAACGGCGAGGAGCAGGCCCUGCAGCAGGAGGUCACCACAUGUGACAAGUGCUCCACCAACCAGGCCGUAUUGACCAGCCAGGUCUAUGUCAGCCGGCAGAGCUGGGACCUCGGGGCCACCUUCUCCUGCAAAGUGACCUCCCCCUCGCUGAAGGUCCCCAUCGUCGCCGACAUCAGCACCUUCUGCACAGCAGAUCAACUGUCGGUGGAGGUCACGAUCAUCCCCCCGUCCUUGGAGGACCUCUACCUCAGCCAGAACGCCAACCUCACCUGCGUGGCCACCAACCUGAAGUCUUCCAACAACGUCAAGUUCACCUGGGGCCGGAGUACGGGUGGGGCGUUGGACGGGGUUACGGAGUCACCAGAGAAGUUGGAGAACGGCCUCUACCGUGCCACCAGCGUCCUGAACCUCUGCGCCGACGAGUGGAACUCGGGCGAGACCUUCACCUGCUCUGUCUUCAUCCCCGAGAUCGGUGAACCCAUCCAGAGGUCCACCAAGAAAGAUCUAGCCGUCUCGGUGAAGGCACCGUCCGUCUACGUCUUCCCUCCAUCGGCUGAGGAGUUGGCCCAGCAGGAAAUGGCCACCUUGACCUGCCUGGCCUUGGGCUUCCGCCCCAGGGACAUCUUGGUCACCUGGACCCAAGAAGACCGCCCCGUGUCCCCCAGCAGCAUCUCCACCUUCGGACCUCAAGCCGAUGGAGACGCCUUCACGCUCUACAGCAUGUUGACCGUGCCGGCGAGCGAUUGGCAACGCGGCGACUCCUUCGCUUGCGUGGUCGGCCAUGACGGCAUCCCGCUCCACUUCGUGCAGAAGACUUUGGACAAGAACCUCGGUAAACCCACCACCGUCAACGUCUCGGUCAUCCUCGCCGACUCUGACGUCACCUGCUACUGA